rnacentral:rRNA from 1 species
UACGAGGGGGGCAAGCGUUGUUCGGAAUUAUUGGGCGUAAAGGGUGCGUAGGCGGUCUGACAAGUCUGAUGUGAAAUCUAUGGGCUCAACCCAUAGUCUGCAUCGGAAACUGUCGGGCUGGAGUAUGGGAGAGGUGAGUGGAAUUUCCGGUGUAGCGGUGAAAUGCGUAGAGAUCGGAAAGAACACCAACGGCGAAAGCACUCUGCUGGGCCGACACUGACACUGAGAGACGAAAGCUAGGGGAGCGAAUGGG